rnacentral:rRNA from 1 species
UAUACGACCGUACCGCAAACCGACACUGGUGCGCGAGAUGAGUAUUCUAAGGCGCUUGAGAGAACUCAGGAGAAGGAACUCGGCAAAUUGACACCGUAACUUCGGAAGAAGGUGUGCCCUAUUAGUGUGUAGUGAACAACGAAGCAUGAAUGGGUUGCAAAAAAUCGGUGGCUGCGACUGUUUAUUAAAAACACAGCACUCUGCAAACACGAAAGUGGACGUAUAGGGUGUGACGCCUGCCCGGUGCUGGAAGAUUAAAUGAUGGGGUGCAAGCUCUUGAUUGAAGUCCCAGUAAACGGCGGCCGUAACAAUAACGGUCCUAAGGUAGCGAAAUUCCUUGUCGGGUAAGUUCCGACCUGCACGAAUGGCGUAACGAUGGCCACACUGUCUCCUCCUGAGACUCAGCGAAGUUGAAGUGUUUGUGAUGAUGCAAUCUCCCCGCGGAAAGACGGAAAGACCCCAUGAACCUUUACUGUAGCUUUGUAUUGGACUUUGAACAGAUCUGUGUAGGAUAGGUGGGAGGCUUUGAAGCAGGGUCGCUAGAUCUUGUGGAGCCAACGUUGAAAUACCACCCUGGUGUGUUUGAGGUUCUAACCUAGGUCCAUUAUCUGGAUCGGGGACAGUGCAUGGUAGGCAGUUUGACUGGGGCGGUCUCCUCCCAAAGCGUAACGGAGGAGUUCGAAGGUACGCUAGCUACGGUCGGACAUCGUGACGAUAGUGCAAUGGCAUAAGCGUGCUUAACUGCGAGACUGACAAGUCGAGCAGAUGCGAAAGCAGGACAUAGUGAUCCGGUGGUUCUGUAUGGAAGGGCCAUCGCUCAACGGAUAAAAGGUACUCUGGGGAUAACAGGCUGAUACCGCCCAAGAGUUCAUAUCGACGGCGGUGUUUGGCACCUCGAUGUCGGCUCAUCUCAUCCUGGGGCUGUAGCCGGUCCCAAGGGUAUGGCUGUUCGCCAUUUAAAGAGGUACGUGAGCUGGGUUUAAAACGUCGUGAGACAGUUUGGUCCCUAUCUUCCGUGGGCGCUGCAGAUUUGAGGAAGCCUGCUCCUAGUACGAGAGGACCGGAGUGGACACACCUCUGGUGUAUCGGUUGUCACGCCAGUGGCAUUGCCGAGUAGCUAAGUGUGGAAGAGAUAACCGCUGAAAGCAUCUAAGCGGGAAACUCGUUUCAAGAUGAGAUCUGCCGGGGCCUUGAGCCCCCUAAAGAGUCGUUCAAGACCAGGACGUUGAUAGGUCAGGUGUGGAAGCUAAAAAAAAUAG